GAGGGCAGUCUGGUGCCAGCAGCCGCGGUAAUUCCAGCUCCAAUAGCGUAUAUUAAACUUAGUUGCAGUUAAAAAGCUCGUAGUUGAAUUUCUGCGUUAUCGAGUUAUUGACUCUUGUCUUCAAUCGAUUUCGCUUUUGGGAUUUAUCCCUUUUUACUUUGAGAAAAUUAGAGUGUUUCAAGCAGACUUUUGUCUUGAAUACUUCAGCAUGGAAUAAUAGAGUAGGACUUUGGUUCUAUUUUGUUGGUUUUUGAACCUUAGUAAUGGUUAAUAGGAACGGUUGGGGGCAUUCGUAUUUAACUGUCAGAGGUGAAAUUCUUAGAUUUGUUAAAGACGAACUACUGCGAAAGCAUUUGCCAAGGACGUUUCCAUUAAUCAAGAACGAAAGUUAGGGGAUCGAAGACGAUCAGAUACCGUCGUAGUCCUAACCAAUAAACUAAAACUUGC
rnacentral:rRNA from 1 species